AAAAUGGCGUUUUUAAACGCCAUUUUUUCACUUAUAAAAUCACCG
rfam:Rodentibacter heidelbergensis strain Ac69 contig_3, whole genome shotgun sequence.